rfam:Gossypium hirsutum cultivar TM-1 chromosome 8, whole genome shotgun sequence
UGUUAAAAUUUCAUCUAAUUUUAUUGUUAAAAACUUACGUGUAAAGAGGAAUAACUAAAAAGUGCCAUGUGACUGCCACAUGUACUUCAUGUUAAUGUACAUAGACUAGUUUUUAAUAGUAAAAAUAGAUCGAACUUUUUAAUA